rnacentral:lncRNA from 1 species
AACAGGGAGGGCUUGGUGAACCUGUACCGGCAACGAUCGGUGCUGAAAAUCGAGGGCCGGAAGAUCCAGGGCAAGGAGGCUAUCCUCGCCAAACUCAUCUCCCUUCCGCAGCCGUGCCACCACGAAUUCCCCGAGAUCAGUUGCUGCACCUAUCGCUUGGCACCCGCAUCGGCAUCGGUCGCCGUGCGCGUCCUGGUCCGCGGCGGGACGUGGUUAGGCGGCAAGAAGGAGGAGGCGGACGCCGCCCUUAUACAGCAGGUCUCUCUCGUUCUCUCUAAGUUAUUAUUUCUUGUCAACGCUUUGCAAUUUCUCUUAUCGAUCAAUCCGUUAAUCAAUCGCAUCGCGCAUAAAUACCGAGAGUACAUCUCAAGCUCCUUGUCUAACGCUCUGGCUGGCUCUGAUUCUUAACCUUCAGAGCUUCAAUCUGGUGCCAGCACGAGGAGGAAGCUUUUACAUAGCUCGACAAUCUGGGAUGCUCUUUGAUCUCAAGAAGCCUCGGUCCGGGGGUCUGUCCUACUGGCUACCGAAACCUCCCUGCUCGGCAGCGCCCUUUCUUGGCCCGUUAUAUCAAAUCCUAUCCUCGGCAUACCCGCCGACGUCGGCUGCCACGGCACCGAGUACGCCUCCGCAUUUCGAACGCCUCAGCAUUUCGAAUCCGAAUGCCACCCAUGAUGAAACUUCCUCCGUCUCUACAGAGACCUGAUGAUAAAACUGUUUUACUUUCAAUGUUCUAGACUCUUGUUUUAUUUUCAAUGUUUUGUUGCACUACUUUUGUGAAUACGUAUUGGAUUCAUGUUCGAAUCCAAGUUCAGCAUAUGUCAUACUGCUCUUAUGAACUGAACUCAGUGGCAGGGCCUUCUAAUUCUCGUGGUAAUAUACUUAAUGUUUCAUGACAUUAGCAGUGAGGAUGUUAAUAUGAUGGAUAAACACUGCUCCUCUCGACAAUACCUCGCCCAUGCUUCUAGAGGAAAUAACUUUUCUUUUAACAUACAAGUUUUAUUUCAUGACUUUAAUAUAGUACAGAUAAUCAUGAGUUAAGAUAAAAAUAAAUAGGGAGCAAUUUACAUUUUGGCCGCCAUCGGCGAAAUGGAAGGUAGACAGAUGACUCUAGGACUCUCUACCAACGAAUUCAGCGGAGCGAGCCGGUCAUUUGACAAGUUGAUUAUGACAUUUUCAGAUAAAUGCAGGAGAAGCGUAUCCUUUUUUUACACCUUUAUUUGAGACUUUGCGGGGCUCCUCCCUUGCAUUGACCGUGCUUAUCCAGCGUCGAGAUUGAUCCGCAUUUGUCCAUUUCACAAUCAUAAAGUGCAUGCAAAAUGGACCGGAGAAGUACUGCAUUACUGUGAUAGUAAAUUGCAGGACUGUCUCCGCCGGUACUUGUGGAUUCAAUCGUGCAAGAAGGGGGGACACCAUUUGCUUCUCAUCAAGCCCCCAACCGUACUGAAUGACCAUUCCUGUCGCCAUCCGUCACAGGUUAUGUAUCUUAAUAUAUAUGUCUACAUGUAUUCACCUUUCGCUGUGAGAGUUUUCUCAUGAAAGGUAAUCUAAGGUAGAGAACAUCGACAAACUUCUCAAAGCAUAAUGUUACAGGACCAACCUCUUGAGUUUGCUUCAGUUCGGAAGAAGAGAGAAAAUUCUUCCCCGGGAGGAAGUAGAAGCUGUGAAGCAACAUCCAAACCAAAGCAAAAUACAAGCUACUUUUCAAGGUAUGAUCUUAGUUCUGAGUUAGCAUUAACAGAGCCUUCACUCCGUGCCUCGGCGAUCUUUGUACAGCCAAUUCCCUGCAAGAAAGGGGUCAAAGUGAACGUCUUUAUAAGACCAAGGGCUCGAAAAUCCCAUAAGGCAUGCAUCUGCAAAUAACUUCUCCUGCGAAGAGGAGAACAAGAACAACCCAGGACACAUGUGGAUACGCUCAAUGUAGCACAAUGAUUAAAUUAAAUCUGCCAAAAUGCUCCAAUGACAGAUAAAGCCAUAAAUAGACAUCUCACGUCAUUGUGUUCGACUGUUUUGAUAUCCCGUUUCAUAUUAAACUCUUGAUCCUUAGAUACGACGGCAAGGAUCAUGGCCAACAAAAGCAUGGGACUGAUUCACUGAGUGCCCAGAUAAAGAAGGUAAUUUAUCAUGUCAAUAGCAUGAAUGGAUGACGGUACCACUGAAUGAAAAGUUCGAUAACGAACAACAUGCCAAUGCACAUAGCUUGAAAAGUGCCAGAAGGAAAAAGCACAAAAAAGAUUGAAAUGGCGAGCUGACAUCCAUGAAGGAUGAUGACAUUCCCUGUUCAGCAGUAGAACAGGACCCCUAAAAUAGGAAUAAGGCACUUGCCGGUACUUGCUCAUGAGCUUAAUAAGGCGCAUGCUAUUUCAUUACGAGAAAGAAAAAGAGGACAAUAACCUGCCACGUACAUGGUUCAAGCCACAAAUUGUCGACAACAUCAGAGUUUGAUAGUCAAAGAGCUAUAAGGCCAUGACCAGCCGCCCAAACAGCAUGAGGGAACUUGGUUUCCUCUGUCCACUUUCAAAUCGUCCAUAUUAUGCAAGUCACCUCAAAGAAACCAACGGAACUUGUACGCAUAACGAUAUCAUCGUUUGCUCGCUGGUCCGGGUAUAUCAAGUUAGCUAAAAUUUUAGAACAAUGAUUCUUAUCUGAUAACCCUACCACCUUCUAUUUUUAACCACUGAAUUUGUUGUACUCCCGAUUCUUUAGAGUGCGCAAAAAAUAAAACAGCAGAAAUUUAUAGAUUAGAAUUUUGUCAAUUUUUAGAAUUGUUCGGAAGACAAUAGCCCGGGAUAGUCCAACAAACUAAUAGUAAGCAUCAAGGAGAAUUAAUUGAGCAUAACUCCAUUGUUUAUUUGGCCGUACGGUUCAAUUAGAUCAACGACAUUCUGUGUGUCCUCCUCAGUCAAUGUCAGCCCCAGAUGAUUCACCAGCAUUCGGCUAAUCUGCCUCACAACUUUCGUUUGCCGAAUCCAUUUAGGAACCAUAUUGCUCAAGGCCUAUGCAAAAUAAUGAGCGAAUAAUAUGCAUAUGGUAUAAAAUAUAUCACAUAAUGGGUAACCGCUCCAACCUCCAAAACUUCCAUUUUUACUCUCCUCCGAGAAUGAGAUUAGAGCACAAAGUCCCGGUGCUUAUUGGUUUUAGCAAAGAGAAAAUGAUCGAUUCAAGCAGAACUGAAUUUUGCUUCCCCUUACUCUUCGUCAAUUAUAAUUUAUGUUCCCUUUCCUCUGAACAAAAGAAAAAGGGACAUGCAGCCAGUUCCAUGGACCCCCGGGAAUCGGAUCGGGCAAAUCCGAAUCCAAAGCCGAAUAGGUUGGUUCCCAAUUUCACAAACUAGGACCCAGCCCCGUCUGGUCAAGUUCCCGGUUCCGGAGUGGGCCAAUUUAGCUCAGAAUCUACCCAUAAUCGGGUUCAAACAGUUCAGAGAAAAUUCAAAAUAACUUGGAAUUACCACCGCUCAAAGUUAGAAAAUCAAUCGUCAAAAAAAGUUAAAAAAUCAACAUCCCACUGAGAACCUUUCAGAUCAUCAUGUAACGUCAACUGAAAACACAUUAGAUCAGAUCUAACGUAUUGUCUUCACUGACAUGUGCCGACUUUUGCCAACAAAUUGGAAGACGUUUAAUCCCCUUAAUCCCCUCGAUUUCUUCCUCGAUUCAAAAAUCUUCAAUCGGAAUUUAACUUUAUCAAUUCGCAAAGUUUCCAAAUCCAAUGGGGUGUCGGAACUUGUUCGGAGGUCUUGUGAGCAUGCAUCAAUCCCCGUUAGAUAUCAGAAUGAGGAGUCCAACAAGAGAAUACAGCUGAAAUCCAAGCGCCUCAAUUCUCAAGUCAAAUAUAAGCUAUCCAGAACUGCAAAUCCACCAGCGACUCCACCUUCAUGUGAUGAUGAUAUCUUUGUUCUCAUUAAAUAACCACACUGUUCAUUUACGAUGACAUUCUCUUUCUUCCUGGUAAGAUCAAUCUCAGAUUACCAUGAGCACAUCAAAUGCAUUUACAAACAUUGUCGCUGAAUUCACUAGUGCUAACACGUGCGAACAACGGUGCUGUAGAAGGCAUGAAAUAAAUUAAAAACAGAAGCUUUGGUUAUCAGAUUUUCCCAUCCGACUCCAACUGCAAAGAUUAAAUUCCAAGUCAUUGAUUUUAAUUAAUCCGAGAUCACAUCCAUCAAACUAAUGAGAGAUGGAGCGACAUCAAAAAAUUACCUCACAUAAGCACCAUAUACCCCGAGUUCUGACAUGGCGUGAUCUUUAUAACAAAUGCCAUCACGAAUGAGAGUUGUGGGAGAAAUGGACGGAAAAAUUCUUUGCAUAAGGAUAUAGGCAGCAUCCUCCUCACUACCUUCACGUUGCAGCCUUAAUAGGGUUUCUCUCACGUCGUCGCCAUAGAUGUUGUUCCCUAAAGAGAGAAAUGACUUCAUUUUAGAAAGAAGAUAGCGCGGCUUAUAACAAAGCAAUCCUUGAAUAAUAUAAUCAAGGUGAGAGAUAAUUACCUCCCCCUUCCCUCUGGGGCUUCAUGACAAAUAGCUCGGGACUUUCAAUUGCUUUACCAACAAUAUGAGGGUCUUCUAAGCUCCAUAAACCUGCAAAGGAUUUCUGGAUCUCGGCAAUGUCUUCUUUGUUCUCAAGGAAUCUGAUAUAUGCACCAAUGGAGUCUCGUAAGUGAUCAAACACGUAGGAGAUAGAGUCUAUUCGACAGUGCAUCUUCUCCUGUAAUUAAAUUGACUUCUAAUGUUCCCAUCGAUAUGUUAUCGAGACUGUUCGGUAAGACAUAUGGAAGGAGCUAAAAUGGCCAUUUGGUAUUAAAAGUAGUCCUUAAUUCGCAGUCCUGGGUGCCAUUGAUUACAUCUAAGCUUCAAACUCAACUAAACAUCAUCAUAUUAGCUAUUGUUGUAUGCAUAGCACACAUCUAUAUACAUUUGUGCUUCAGGAGUUUUUCCAGGAAUGGUACGAUUCCAUAUAAAGCACAGAGGAUGAAGAAAUGUGAUCUGUUGAACAAAAUAUAUCACCUUUCAAGUACAUUAGGUUUUGCAAGUUCUUGCUGAAUCUUUUUCGUGCCGGCUAAAUGAUAAGAUAUGGAUGGGCACUUAAUUGCAGAUGACUCUUCCGUAAGUAGCCUUGCUCUCCAUUCCUACAAUACAGCAAGAAACAAAACUUAAGUCACACCUUUCAAGCAUUGACCCAGGGCUUAAGAUUUCCGCACUUCUUACUAUUUUAUAACAUAGGGUUUUCAAGUGGCACUAAUUUGACGCCUGUCAACUUCUUGAGGUUGUGUGAAGAAUGGAUUUCAUAUUUCCUCUUAUUGGUUUCUUUCCAUUCCCUCUGUUUACUUACUUUGUGGAUAAUCAUUUAUUUGCCUUCCACCCAGAAAUUUUUUUAAGUUGAUGAUAUUUUCUGGAACAAAGUCCACUUUUUCCAUAACCAAUUGGACAAACUUGGUUAUUUGGAGGAAAUGUCAUGAUUACAUUGUUUAGUAUUCUUUUACAUCGCAUAAUGCUAUAUGUUUUGAACAUGAAGUCAAUUGUUUAGCCAAGCUUGGCUUACGAAUGUUCAUAUGUACAUUAUCAAGUAUUGUUCAUUGUGGCCAGUCUCAUGGAAUUAUGAUAUAGUAAUGAGGGAAUCCUAACAAUCAAAAUGUGCAGGAAAUAGAGAAGUAUAUUAUAAUCAUGAAUCUAACAGAAAUAAUCGACUUGCAUAAAACAUCAUGAUGAUACUAAUAAUUGUUCUAUUCAGUCAUCAAGACAUAUAAAAGCGAAUCUUUAUGAAAACUAGAGUAAGGAUGCAGUCACUAUAACAUUGUAAGAAAUGCUGCCACAGAAAUAUUUUAUGAGAAGAAUAAAACCCGCCUCAAACGCGGGAUUUUCACUAGUAUGGUAAUAAAACAUAUCUAUAAAGAAAGCAUCUGGUAAAGCUAAAAUGGAAGGAGAAAUUUUCUGAAAAUUAAUCACAGCUACAGUCAAUAUUUCAAGGAAGACAAUCUUCUCUUAGUUGCUAUUAGCUAAUUAUUAGGAUAAGGCUUAAGGAUGUACCGAUUCUGAAGGAUAAUCAUUUGGGGUAUACCCGGCUCUAAAAUAAAUAGCUGCUACAGGGACUCCACCUCUUGCAAUAGCAAAUCUUCAUUAUGUAAGUGAAACGUGCAUGUAAAGCCAAAGUUCAACAAGAUAAACUAGAGAUGUCAGCAACUACAUACACAAGUAACGUCCCAUCAGGCUGAAGUUCCCCCUCUGCAUCAAUUUCUGCUAAGGUCUUCCGAAUAGACCUCACAUUAUGUGUGUUAUAUAAUUAAGGAAGCAUCCAAAGCAAAUUAUGGACAUGAAGAGACUGAUGGACAGAAAUAGAGAACUUUAUAGUUUGGAAAGCAGAUUUUUGGACGCAGAGCAUCAUAGCAGAUAGAUGUAGAAUCCAAGAAAUGAUCUAAGAGAGACAAAGAGAGAUAAUCACAGAUAUAACCUACCCUUCUGAUAUCUCAAAACAAUCGCUAGUAUAUAGAAGGAUAUCUUUCGCUCACGACAGAGCUAAGCCAGUGCAGGUCGUACAUAUUUCGUUCCUCUGUCUGAACCACAACCAGAACAGUGGCCCUGUUAAAAGUAAUCAAUUGUAAUCAGGUCUUAAUGAAAUAUACUCCACAUAUGCAGACCUAUGAAUAAAAAAAAGAAAAGAAGACGACCAUAAUUAUUUUGCAAUUCUUACUUUGGGUUAUUGAACUCGAUCCAAGCUUUGGCCAAGGCCUCUGCAUAAUGACUCACAGCAGCAUUGGUAGGGAUCCUCCUGGGAUCUAACCCAAGAGUUUCGCCAUAAUGGCUGAGCAAGGACCCGUGUCAUUGCCACCUGACGUUAAGAUCAAGCUUUUGGUCUUCUGUGACCAUCUUUGACCGUGCAUGUGAACAGGUGCGUAUGGGCUUAGAGAAAUCACAGGGAAUGUAAGAGUCAGUACAUAUGACCAACCUAACCUGUGGAGCUCACUAACAAGACAGCCAAGACCCGGAAAUGAGGAUGAUAUGGUGUUCAGUUCUAUCUGAAGCAGUAACUUCGUUUGUUCAUCAAGCGUAUAAUCCGAUUGAUGCAAACCCAGUCGUAUCUCCUGUGGAGAAUUGAGAGAGCAAAAUUAUGGGGUUUAGCACACUAAUCAUAUUCAGCAAUCAGCAUAUUUUUCUUCCAGACGAGGAAAGCAGCCAAUCAAAGUGACAUGAACUUGAAAAGCCAGUUUUAAUACACUAUUGCAACCAAACUUAAGGUAAAGCUUUCACAAAAUUCUAAAUUUAUGAACUUACAUCUUUUUUAUUAAUUUCCAUCAUCUUGGAAUGGAUAUCUACGAGUCGAGAGGUGAAAGCAUCCACCUCUUUUGUUCUGCAAUGAGAAGAAGUUACAUCAUGUAAUUCAACAGUAAGUUCGGACUUGCUUCACCAAUGCGACAACUAAAAGCCGGACUACAAAAAUACCAUUGAUUGCAAGGAAGGUAGAAGGGCUCAUAAUUUCCAAAAUACUAGGUUAUGAGAAAAAUAGAAGAGCUAAAAGGAGUUGAAUUUUUCAUAAGCUAAGAAACAACCAAGAGCAUAUGAUACAAGCCAAAGCAGAGUGAGAAUUGAAUCAGACCUAAGAAUUCACAUGAAACAAUGGUCUUAAUCUUCUUGAAUUGGACACUAUAUGCUUAUAGCAUAAACUACAUGCCGUAUUCGACCAAAAGAAGAAAAAAAAAAAAAACUACAUGCUGCAGACAUAUAGAUAAAGCAGAAUAAAUACCUGGAUAAUGAAUCUUGUAAAAACUUUCCAUCCAAACUCACACGAUCGACAAGCUCAUUGAAAAUAGGAGCUAAUUCGCAAGCCUCCCUAAACUGACUCUCGGGAAUGAGAUGGGCAACAAAGCAAACGGAGCAUGCAUCAGACCGACACCAGGUGCUUUUCCUGAUCUCUGCAACACAUACGCAUAAAUACCAUUAUCAGUCAAACUGUAGAAUUAAACAACCCAGAUCAAAUUCGACAGGAAACUCCAUAAACAGCACAUCAGAAAGUCGCAUAUUCCAAGUCAUUGAUUUUGAUUAAUCAGAGAUCACAUCCAUCAAACUAAUGAGAGAUGGAGUGACAUCAAAAAAUUACCUCACAUAAGCACCAUAUACCCCGAGUUCUGACAUGGCGUGAUCUUUAUAACAAAUGCCAUCACGAAUGAGAGUUGUGGGAGAAAUGGACGGAAAAAUUCUAUGCAUGAGGAUAUAGGCAGCAUCCUCCUCACUCCCUUCACGUUGCAGCCUUAAUAGGGUUUCUCUCACAUCGUCGCCAUAGAUGUUGUUCCCUAAAGAGAGAAAUGACUUCAUUUUAGAAAGAAGAUAGCGCGGCUUAUAACAAAGCAAUCCUUGAAUAAUAUAAUCAAGGUGAGAGAUAAUUACCUCCCCCUUCCCUCUGGGGCUUCAUGACAAAUAGCUCGGGACUUUCAAUUGCUUUACCAACAAUAUGAGGGUCUUCUAAGCUCCAUAAACCUGCAAAGGAUUUCUGGAUCUCGGCAAUGUCUUCUUUGUUCUCAAGGAAUCUGAUAUAUGCACCAAUGGAGUCUCGUAAGUGAUCAAACACGUAGGAGAUAGAGUCUAUUCGACAGUGCAUCUUCUCCUGUAAUUAAAUUGACUUCUAAUUUUCCCAUCGAUAUGUUAUCGAGACUGUUCGGUAAGACAUAUGAAUGGAGCUAAAAUGGCCAUUUGGUAUUAAAGGUAGUCCUUAAUUCGCAGUCCUGGGUGCCAUUGAUUACAUCUUAGCUUCAAACUCAACUAAACAUCAUCAUAUUAGCUAUUGUUGUAUGCAUAGCACACAUCUAUAUACAUUUGUGCUUCAGGAGUUUUUCCAGGAAUGGUACGAUUCCAUAUAAAGCACAGAGGAUGAAGAAAUGUGAUCUGUUGAACAAAAUAUAUCACCUUUCAAGUACAUUAGGUUUUGCAAGUUCUUGCUGAAUCUUUUUCGUGCCGGCUAAAUGAUAAGAUAUGGAUGGGCACUUAAUUGCAGAUGACUCUUCCGUAAGUAGCCUUGCUCUCCAUUCCUACAAUACAGCAAGAAACAAAACUUAAGUCACACCUUUCAAGCAUUGACCCAGGGCUUAAGAUUUCCGCACUUCUUACUAUUUUAUGACAUAGGGUUUUCAAGUGGCACUAAUUUGACGCCUGUCAACUUCUUGAGGUUGUGUGAAGAAUGGAUUUCAUAUUUCCUCUUAUUGGUUUCUUUCCAUUCCCUCUGUUUACUUACUUUGUGGAUAAUCAUUUAUUUGCAUUCCACCCAGAAAUUUUUUUAAGUUGAUGACAUUUUCUGGAACAAAGUCCACUUUUUCCAUAACCAAUUGGACAAACUUGGUUAUUUGGAGGAAAUGUCAUGAUUACAUUGUUUAGUAUUCUUUUACAUCGCAUAAUGCUAUAUGUUUUGAACAUUAAGUCAAUUGUUUAGCCAAGCUUGGCUUACGAAUGUUCAUACGUACAUUAUCAAGUAUUGUUCAUUGUGGCCAGUCUCAUGGAAUUAUGAUAUAGUAAUGAGGGAAUCCUAACAAUCAAAAUGUGCAGGAAAUAGAGAAGUAUAUUAUAAUCAUGAAUCUAACAGAAAUAAUCGACUUGCAUAAAACAUCAUGAGGAUACUAAUAAUCGUUCUAUUCAAUCAUCAAUACAUAUAAAUGUAAAUCUUUAUGAAAACUAGAGUAAGGAUGCAGUCAUUAUAACAUUGUAAGAAAUGCUGACGCAGAAAUAUUUUAUGAGAAGAAUAAAACCCGCCUCAAACGCGGGAUUUUCACUAGUAUGGUAAUAAAACAUAUCUAUAAAGAAAGCAUCUGGUAAAGCUAAAAUGGAAGGAGAAAUUUUCCGAAAAUUAAUCACAACUACAAUCAAUAUUACCUCCCCCUUCCCUCUGGGGCUUCAUGACAAAUAGCUCGGGACUUUCAAUUGCUUUACCAACAAUAUGAGGGUCUUCUAAGCUCCAUAAACCUGCAAAGGAUUUCUGGAUCUCGGCAAUGUCUUCUUUCUUCUCAAGGAAUCUGAUAUAUGCACCAAUGGAGUCUCGUAAGUGAUCAAACACGUAGGAGAUACAGUCUAUUCGACAGCUCAUCUUCUCCUGUAAUUAAAUUGACUUCUAAUGUUCCCAUCGAUAUGUUAUCGAGACUGUUCGGUAAGACAUAUGAAAGGAGCUAAAAUGGCCAUUUGGUAUUAAAAGUAGUCCUUAAUUCGCAGUCCUGGGUGCCAUUGAUUACAUCUAAGCUUCAAACUCAACUAAACAUCAUCAUAUUAGCUAUUGUUGUAUGCAUAGCACACAUCUAUAUACAGACAAAAUGAGUUUCAGUCUAAUAAAAUGUAAAGCAAAGCUGGGAGCGCUUCAAGCAUCCAGCGCCGCUGCUGGUGGCGCUGUCCUGCCUUCCUCCAUAUCCGGGAGCCCCACUUUCUCCAGUAGUGCCUGAAACUGGGAUCGGUCCUCCUCCUCCUCCAUCCAUCCUCCUCCUCCGCUGCCUGUCCUUCAUCCAUGGCAUCUGGUUCCGUACGGAAGACGGAAAAUACAAGGGUUGCUCCCUGCUGUGCUGUCAUUUGCAGAAUAAAACUCUAGAGCAAAACACAAAUCAGUAUUCUUCCUAUUCCCAAAAAAAAGGCACAGCAAAAGAAAAGAGAAUACAUGGUUGAAGUUGUAUGGUAGCACAACGUCCUCUUCCCUCCCAUACUGUCCACCAAAGGAGGCGUAGAUGCGUUGAGCGACGUGGUCAACGAACGCAUCGAACUCAUCCAAAUGGAACUUGAAUCUAUCCAAACCGUUCACAAACGCAGCAAUGGCCUCCGGGGUCCCAAGACGGACCCCAUCAAAAUCCAUGCACGCUUCAUCAUAAAAGCUUAUCAGCUCUUGCCUAUCCCUUGCCAAAAUAUCAUGGUAUAACACACCCCAACCUGCCGCCAUGUCUUUGAGUCUUUCAUCAUCCAUACCUCUGUUCUGUUCAAGAACAAUAGGUGCAAAUAACGUACGCAUAAAGAAAAAAAGGAAAAAAAAAAAAAUGGCAGAGCUCGACCUCAUUUCCACAUACUGACCUGUCGACGACGCUCGAAGGGAAAAAGACGGUGGAGCCUCACCGCGAUCGCCGUCCGACGUUUGCAGAGAUUCGACGACGAAAUGAGAGAGCGGGGCGGUAUUCUGUUUAGGAUGACCGAGAAAUGGGUUUUCUCUUCCACCAAUCAGAGUUUUAAAUUUGGGAAAACACGUUUCGCGACGUCGUUUAUACUAUGUAUGCGGAGUUAGAGCAUGGGUGAGCCAAGUCAGAUUGAAAAAAAAAAAAAAUUGAUAAAAUAUUACUUAUUUUGAAUUUUCAACUAUUCAAAUCAAAGUUAACACUUGAAGUGAAUCAAUAAAGCUACAUCUACCACCACCGCCCGGCCACCAAUCUUUCCUUACACGAGAUACGAGAUUCGAGAUUGGACAGGAUAAUUCCUACUCGCCGACAUUAGACAACUCUCAAAUGGAUGAACUGGCAUUGGAUAGAGCCGUCUGAUUGGGGCAUUUUUCUGCUUCUAGGGUUUGUGUGUGGAAAUCGAACUUACUUAAAUUGUGAAGAUGUUUAAACCAAUUCGAAUUUGUGAAAGAUAUUUCUGCUUCUAGGGUUUGUGUGUGGAAAUCAAACUUACUUAAAUUGUGAAGAUGUUUAAACCAAUUCGAAUUUGUGAAAAACACGUACACAUCAGCAUUCAAAGUCCCCCUCAAAUUUAGUCGCGAUAUUUCUAUUAAUCAAGAUAAUAUAUAUAAUGAUUUCCCAAAAAUAGUCAUAAAACUUAUUACAAGGAUACCAAUUCAGUCUAAAAUUUUUCAAUUUGCUUAAUUUAGUCCUAACCUUUUAUUAAGAUUUGUCAAUAGUCUAUUCGAGCAAUUUUAAAUGACGAUAGGUGGUUGUUAGCCAAAAUUGACCGAAAUUGCUAUAUUGGUAAAUCUUCAAAAGUUUAAAAUUGAAUUAAUACAUUGAAAAAUUUUGAUUGAAUUUGCAUUUAUAUAUUAAGUUUGAGACUUAAAAAGAAAAAUCUCAUGUGCAUUGGUGGAGAAUCCGAAUGCGGUGUCAUAUCUUUUCAUUUGAAAUGUUAAUGUUUGAUACGCAUGCUGUGUUAAGCUGUAUAACGACAUGUAAACCAAAGUCCGUACAUCAUAUCUGGAAAGAUUUCGAUCGGCUAAGGACAAAUACCCGGUUAUUAUCCCACAUGGGAAAUCCGCCAACCGCGCGGUGGCAAGUCAAUGAUCUCAUCUCAAGGAUUGACCGCCGAGGUGGCCAGAGCAGCACCUCACAUUUGGCUUUUGUAGAAGAAGAAUCAAAGCGCUUUUCUUUUUGGUAUAUCUAUGAUGAUGAUGAUAUUAUUAUUAUUAUUAUUAUUAUUAUUAUUAUUAUUAUUAUUGAUCUAAUUCUCACGGACUCAAUAUAAUAUUCACACAUACCACGAGGACAUCUAGAGGACCGCAUGCACAUACGUAAGGUAUUCAUUUAUUUAUUAUUGGGUUUCCACGUUGUCUCUUCCUUUUUCUCCUUUUUCUUUUUUCAUUUUUAUAUUCCUUAGAAAUUAGCAGCCCCUUUAGAAGAAGCCUCUAUUCAAGGGGAAGAAAAGGUCGUCUCGGACUCCCCCAUCAUUGAGGUUCCACUAAAAUGACCAUUAAUUCAGGUUUUAAAUUCAAAGAGAUUGUCUCAGGUACCAACUCCUAACAAAAAAAUUAAAUUGGUCUAUACCAUGAUUUUGAUAAUUCAAAGAGAUUGUCUAAGGGAGAACCAUCACUUCAACGGGUUGCUUAUUAAACUCUCUUUUGAACUUAUCGUGGAAUCAAACUGAAUUUCAAAUGAUGACAACAAGAGCAUGUGCAGGUGCAUGGUGCUUGCAUGUAUCUUUGCGAUAUAUGGGAAAUUGGGUCAUUUGCAUGAAAAAGCUGUAGGUGCUUCUUACUUUCUUAGUUUGCUAUUGAAAGCACACGGAAAUCGAAAACCAUGGAGAAGUCUAUCAAGUGACUAAACUUGAUUAAUCUGUAGAGCAUGGCACCUAGAGUUAGGCGUAUUGUCGAUCUUGAAUUUCAACGGGUUGUUUAUUAAACUCUCUUUUGAACUUAUCGUGGAAUCAAACUGAAUUUUAGAUGAUGGCAUCAAGAAUAUGUGCAAGUCGCCACGCUUGCGUGUAUAUUUGCGAUAUAUGGAAAUGGAAAUCAAAAUCGGGCCACUUGCAUGGAAAAAGUUGGAAUUGCUUUUUACUUUCUUAGUUGGCUAUUGAAAGCACGUGGAAAUUGAAAACUAUGGAGAAGUCCAUCAAGUGACUAACCUUGAUUAAUCUGUAGAGUUAGGCGUACCGUCGGUCUUGAAUUUUCCGUAUGCAUCGUGAUGAGGGUAUAGAUAAGGGCUUUGCCUAGUAGAGAGGGGUGUGCACGCUAAAUUUUCAGCAUUAAGCUAAAACAUUCUCCUGUGGGUGAUCUAUAGUCUACUGACGCUAGACGCCCUUCUUUUUUCUUUUUUCUGGGUGUGAAAUUAAAAAGAAAAAGAAAAAAAGAGAAGUAAAACUUGUUAGAAACAAUAAUUAUCAAGUUGGAAUGUAGAAAUCAUGUUCAAUGUAUUGUUACUGUGAUUUAAUAUUUGCUUCUUUUCGUUUCUAAUUUGCUAAUAACUUGACAUCCCUUCUAUAGUUAAAAAGGUUGUGAUAGUUGCGGACGAAGACUUUUGCAUUACAUUGUUUAGGCUGUUUUUUCACAUGCAUUGCUUGUCACUAUAUAGUAAUGAUCUUUUAAAAUGAGCAAUAAACUUAUAUCUUAACCCAUAUUUGAAAAGUUGAGUUAUUGCAUGGAUUAGUUAUAUUUAGUAAAUGGAUUUAAAAUAGUAAAGUCUAAAAUAAUAUGGAUAUUAAACAAACUCACGGUUUACUUAAACCAAUUCACCUCUAUGACUCUCUCUCGCCCUUACUAAUCUCGCAAUCACUCACUCCACGUCCUUACCUCAGUUUGCAGAUGAGUUUUCCUAUAUUAGGUAGAACAUGAAAGCGCUUUAACCAUAUGAAUUAGGUUAGAUAGAAAAACGCGUCAGAUCAUUAUGAGUAUCUAAAUUUGUAUUGCAUAAAAAUAAGUCAAAACAACUUAAAUUGGCCAAAUUAGGUCAAUUUAUUUUUCACUCAACCCAAACCCAACCUAAUCCACCCAUUUCACGAGUCUCUAUAAUACUAAGUAUUAGGUUUUUAUCUCUUGUUUCCAACUAUACAAAUUUUUUUUCUAAAGUAUUAAAGCUCGAUGGUCAGAGUUCUAAUCCUAACCCCGACACAUACUAUUCUUCACGCGUACUUCGAUUUUUGGCAUGCCCACAUUUGUCUACCUUUUCCAUUCUUGUUGUCAUAGAAUCCUCACCAUGUCCUAAAUUGAGGAAUGAAUUAGACUGAAGAAGUAAUUUCGUAGGGAAGUCGACUCAUGCCGUUUGUUCAGAAGAUCGCCUCAAAGUAAAUGGAUUGAUUCGCUUGGAGGAAAUUGAUGUGCACUUGUCGGUGCGUCUAACAUUUUUUUUUUUAUAAAUAUCAUUUGUAUUGAAUGACUAAAAUAUAUUUUUAUUUUUCUAUGCAAAUAUUUAAAAAUAAAUGGUUAUCGAUAAAGAAAUUACUUUGUAUUGAUUAAUUAUUUCAUAAAAUAAGCAAUUAUUUUUAAAAUAUAUAUUUUCAGAUUAUUUAUUUUUCACCAAACAAACGGAGUUUGCUUAAUUGUUCGAUUGAUGCUAUUGGUGUUUCUUUUCAAUUCAAUCGCCUCGUCAACAAUCUCCUCUGACCCCUUAACGAACCCCUCUCUCUCUCUUCAAUUCCCUCACCUCCUCGCACGUACCCCGCCCGCAUUGUCUCCUCCUCCUGCAAUUGCCGUUUUUCCAAUUUCACCGCCUUCAUCGCCACCUCCACCUCCUCGAUACGCCCCUCCCCUCUCCUAAUCUCAUCCAUCCAUCUCAGAACCACCGAAACCUUCUCCAGCAAUCUCUCCGUGCAAUUCCAAUACUCGUGCCCUUUCACUUCCGACCGCUCCUCAAUUCUCUCCAAAUUCAGCCGUAGCGGUGGCGAAGAAGGGGCUGAACUGGAAAAAGAAAAAACAAGGGGGGGCUUUCUAGUCUUUUCAGCCGACAGAGAACCGGUUUCGGGUCGGUCGGUGGAUCCGGACCCGAUGAUUCCAAAAUAAAAAAGAAAACCCUGGAAGCCCUAGAGAAAUUGUCUCCAGUUCACACAGAUCCAGCAGGAGGAGGAGGAGGAGGAGGAGGAGGAGAGAUGUCGACGAUCGGUCCAGAAGACGUGACAGAAGCGGAAGGAGGAGGAGGAGGAGAGAUGUCGAUGGUGGGUCCGGAAGAAGACAGGGAUCCGAUGAUAGCGGAGGCCAAGCGGUUCGUGGAGAACUACUACAGCACGUUCGACGCGAACAGGGAGGGCUUGGUGAACCUGUACCGGCAACGAUCGGUGCUGAAAAUCGACGGCCGGAAGAUCCAGGGCAAGGAGGCUAUCCUCGCCAAACUCACCUCCCUUCCGCAGCCGUGCCACCACGAAUUCGCCGAGGUCAGUUGCGGCACCUAUCGCUUGGCACCCGCAUCGGCAUCGGUCGCCGUGUCCGUCCUGGUCGGGGGCGGGACGUGGUUAGGCGGCAAGAAGGAGGAGGCGGACGCCGCCCUUAUACAGCAGGUCUCUCUCGUUCUCUCUAAGUUAUUAUUUCUUGUCAACGCUUUGCAAUUUCUCUCAUCGAUCAAUCCAUUAAUCAAUCGCAUCGCGCAUAAAUACCGAGAGUACAUCUCAAGCUCCUUGUCUAACGCUCUGGCUGG